AGACCGGAUGCGAUAAAACCAUGCAUUUAUUUAUAGAAGGAAACCCAGCGUUAUAUGGAACUACUGAAAAAUAUUCCUUAAUUUCAGAAAAUGACGUAAUCUUCCUUCUAUAAAAGAAAGUAGAAACAGUUUAAGUAAACAUACUGUAUUCAAACAUCAAGAAUGACGGACGAAGAUUGUAUUAUGAAUAUUGUGGAAGGGAAUGGUGAUAUGGCAGAUGGCAUUUUCGACGUCUUUAAGCGGCGAAAAUGCAAGUACAGUCUAGCUGACAUUCAAAAGUCGCCAACAGAACAUUUUGACGAGGUUUACAGACCGUUAAAGACAACCGACACACAAAGUAAUGACGUCAUCUUGGGAUACGGUUUGAAGUCAAUUCCGGAAUUUUAAAGGCUGAAUGACGUCACAAGUUCAGAUAUAGAUACAUCAGACGACAUUUCACGGCUGAUACAGACAACACUUCCAGAUGUAAAAUGGCGGACUGGCGUGUUCCAUAUACUCAGAGAAUGCAAGAAUGAAACUGAUUUGAAAAGAAAGUUGACGUUUUUGAGACAAAACACAUCUGCAGCCAUCGAAGCGUUCCCAGGAGGUCACGGGACGAGUGUUCCAAUCGAGGAGAACUCCGCCCCUAAAAGUCUGCUUAUCUGUGAUUGGUUGACAAUUAUUGAUGGGCUGGGUCUUGAAACAAC